UGGGGCGUAGUCAAGUGGUAAGGCAACGGGUUUUGGUCCCGCUAUUCGGAGGUUCGAACCCUUCCGUCCCAGA
rnacentral:tRNA from 1 species